rnacentral:lncRNA from 1 species
AUGCGCAACCCGCGCGCCGUCGUCCCUGGCAACACUGGCUGCUCUAGCGCCUGGCGGGGUCUCACGGGCGGGCCUGGGCGCACGGCCAAAGCGCCAGGUCUCCACCCCCAGCCCCCGGCGUCCUGCAGCCGGAGCCUGCCUCGCCUGGCUCCUGCGCCCGCCGUCCAGGGCCCCUGUCCAAGCUCGCGGACGCCGGCGGCGUUUUCCAGCUCGAGUGCUCAGCCUAGGGCAGGCUCUGCGUGCGCCCCCUCGAGUGCCGGCCUGGGCCCUGCCAGGCAGAGGCGCUCUUGCGUCAGGACGGCGCCGCCGGGGCCCCGCGAUUCCAACUCGGGGGUCCCGGAGCGGCGCGGGGCGGGGACGGCCUGGCAGCUCCCAGCAGCGAGGGGCGAUCCCCGCCCGCGCAGCAGACCCCGAGCUGCCCAGGCCCUUCCUGCGCCACGUGUACCCAGAGCUCCGCCCGGGGGAGACUUCGCUGCUUGUUGGAGAUGCCCAGCGGUAGGGGGCGAGGACUCGGGAGGAAGAUAAACGGGGGAUCCCGUGUCUGGACUUUCUCCUCCACCCUCUUCCCUUCGCAGCUGUGAAUCCUGGGAGGGGAAGGGUGGCCGCCCCGCCAGCAGAGAGCUGAAGGUGUUCCGUGGUCAGUGAGGGCUGGCACUGGCUCUGCACGAAGAUCUCCUCACCUCCCCAGCGGCUCCUGGCCAGCUCCCCACGGAGAGCCCAGGACACUUGUCCCUGGACACAGUGGUGCAGCCAUGCUUGGGCCAAACCAUGAGGCCACCAGAACCGCGAAAGGCUACUGUACUGAGAGGGAUACUGCGAGAGAGGCCCACAGGUUUCCAAGCAUCCCUCUCACUCCGCACACUCAUCUCCACGACCGGCUUUAAGUGCGGCCUUGAGGCCUGGCUCCCUGUUUGGACUUCUCUGCACCUCCAGGAGCUCACUUCCCGUCACAGCUGGAUGCCUCCUCCCGCAGGCACCUCCCGGGCAUCCUCCCGCCCCAGGCUGCACCUUCUGUGGGACUGGCCCCCGCAGGCACCUCCCGGGCACCCUCCCGCCCCAGGCUGCAGCUUCUGUGGGACUGAGCCCCGCAGGCACCUCCCCGGCAUCCUCCCGCCCCAGGCUGCACCUUCUGUGGGACUGAGCCCCGCAGGCACUUCCCCGGCAUCCUCCCGCCCCAGGCUGCAGCUUCUGUGGGACUGACCUUAAGACCCCAUCGGUUCCUCCUGAGAGCAGCAGAUCUCAGCCAGAUGCUGCCGGGAGGGAGGUGCUAGCGUCCACACCCAGACGGGUCCAGUCCAGCCCUGCUCUCCCUGGUCUCCAGGCAGGGCCCUCCCAGGGUGGACAUUGCCCAUCUCUGCCUGGCCAGGGGCUGCUGACCCACUGGUUCCAGAGUCUGAGCCUGUCCUGCACAAGUACCAUGGACAGGGGUCAGCCGGGCACUGAAGAGGCGUGGCAGAAUUGGGCAGGGCAAGGGCCCCAGCUGGCAAGCUGGAGUCAGGGCAAUUCCAACCAAGAAACUGCGGCAGGCCGGGUGCAGUGUCUCAAGCCUAUAAUCCCAGCACUUUGGGAGGCAGUGGGAGAAUCGCUUGAGCCCGGGAGUUUGAGACCAGCAUUGGUAACAUAGAGACCCUAUCGCUACAAGAAAAAAAAAAAAAAAAAGCUGGGCAUGGUGGUGCACACCUGUUGUCCCAGCUAUUCAGGAGGCUGACGUGGGAGGAUUGCUUGUGCCCAGGGGUUGCAGGCUGCAGUGAGCUGUGAUCAUACCACUGCACUCCAGCCUGGGCGACAGAGAACCUCUCUAAAAAAAAAGGAAAAUGAAAAAUAAAUGGGGGCAGAAGCUGAGCCAAGCAGAGGCGGGCAGCUCCUCCUCCAGGGCCCACCUGGCCUGCUGGGGAAAAAAAAAAAAAAAAAAAA